rnacentral:rRNA from 1 species
GAAACCGCGAAUGGCUCAUUAAAUCAGUUAUGGUUCCUUGGUAUGAAGCCCUGUUACUUGGAUAACUGUGGCAAUUCUAGAGCUAAUACAUGCAAUGAAACUCGGCCCUUCGGGGAAGAGUGCUUUUAUUAGACCAAGACCAAUGCGGGCCUCGCGCCCGGACGUUGGUGGUGACUCUGGAUAACUUUCUGACGAUCGCACGGGUCCAUCCCGGCGACGCAUCUUUCAAGUGUCUGCCUUAUCAACUUUCGAUGGUAGGCCACGAGCCUACCAUGGUUGUAACGGGUGACGGGGAAUCAGGGUUCGAUUCCGGAGAGGGAGCCUGAGAAACGGCUACCACAUCCAAGGAAGGCAGCAGGCACGCAAAUUACCCACUCCCGGCCCGGGGAGGUAGUGACGAAAAAUAACGAUACGGGACUCUAUUGAGACCCCGUAAUCGGAAUGAGAACGUUCCAAACACCCUAUCGAAUGCAAUCGGAGGGUAAGCCAGGUGCCAGCAUCCGCGGUAACACCUGUUCCGAUAGCGUAUAUUACAGUUGCUGCGGUUAAAAAGCUCGUAGUUGGAUCUCAGUUACAGACGUGUGGUCCGCCUAAACGGCGGUAACUACACGUGCUGUAUCAGCCAGCCGGUUUCUCUCGAUGAUCUUCACCGGUUGUCUUGAGUGACCGGCAACAUUACUUUGAAUAAAUCAAAGUGCUCAACGCAGGCUACACGCCUAUAUAAUGGUGCAUGGAAUAAUGGAAUAGGACCUCGGUUCUGUUCUGUUGGUCUACCGAACACGAGGUAAUGAUUAAGAGGAACUGACGGGGGCAUUCGU